CUACGGGAGGCAGCAGUGGGGAAUCUUGCACAAUGGAGGAAACUCUGAUGCAGCGAUGCCGCGUGAGUGAAGAAGGCCCUUGGGUUGUAAAGCUCUUUCGUCGGGGAAGAAAAUGACUGUACCCGAAUAAGAAGGUCCGGCUAACUUCGUGCCAGCAGCCGCGGUAAUACGAAGGGACCUAGCGUAGUUCGGAAUUACUGGGCUUAAAGAAUUCGUAGGUGGUUGAAAAAGUUAGUGGUGAAAUCCCAGAGCUUAACUCUGGAACUGCCAUUAAAACUUUUCAGCUAGAGUAUGAUAGAGGAAAGCAGAAUUUCUAGUGUAGAGGUGAAAUUCGUAGAUAUUAGAAAGAAUACCAAUUGCGAAGGCAGCUUUCUGGAUCAUUACUGACACUGAGGAACGAAAGCAUGGGUAGCGAAGAGGAUUAGAUACCCUCGUAGUCCAUGCCGUAAACGAUGUGUGUUAGACGUUGGAAAUUUAUUUUCAGUGUCGCAGGGAAACCGAUAAACACACCGCCUGGGGAGUACGACCGCAAGGUUAAAACUCAAAGGAAUUGACGGA
rnacentral:rRNA from 1 species